rnacentral:rRNA from 1 species
CACGGGGAAACUCACCAGGUCCAGACACAUCAAGGAUUGACAGAUUGAGAGCUCUUUCUUGAUUAUGUGGGUGGUGGUGCAUGGCCGUUCUUAGUUGGUGGGGUGAUCUGUCUGCUUAAUUGCGAUAACGAACGAGACCUUAACCUGCUAAAUAGCCAGGCUAGCUUUUGCUGGUCGCCGGCUUCUUAGAGGGACUAUCGGCUCAAGCCGAUGGAAGUUUGAGGCAAUAACAGGUCUGUGAUGCCCUUAGAUGUUCUGGGCCGCACGCGCGCUACACUGACAGAGCCAACGAGUAUAAACCUUAACCGAGAGGUUUGGGUAAUCUUGUUAAACUCUGUCGUGCUGGGGAUAGGGCAUUGCAAUUAUUGCCCUUCAACGAGGAAUAUCUAGUAAGCGCAAGUCAUCAGCUUGCGUUGAUUACGUCCCUGCCCUUUGUACACACCGCCCGUCGCUACUACCGAUUGAAUGGCUCAGUGAGGCCUUCGGACUGGCUCCAGGAG